AAGGAACUGAGGUAAAUAGGCCUUCAGUGAUGUGGUGGUAAGGUGUUGGGGAGGGGCAGUGUUGUAUAGUCCUGUGAUAAGUCUCAGUUUUUUUUUUUUUUUGAGAUGGAUUCUUGCUCUGUUGCCCAGGAUGGAGUGCAGUGGCAUGAUCUUGGCUCACUGCAAGCUCCGCCUCCUGAGUUCACACCAUUCUCCCACCUUAGCCUCCCGAGUAGCUGGGACUACAGGCGCCCGCCACUACGCCCGGCUAAUUUUAUUUUUGUAGUUUUAGUAGAGAUGGGGUUUCACCGUGUUAGCCAGGAUGGUCUCGAUCUCCUGACCUUGUGACCCACCCACCUCGGCCUCCCAAAGUGCUGGGAUUAUAGGCGUGAGCCACCGUGCCCAGCCAAGUCUCAGGUUUUUUUUUUUUUUUUUUUAACCCCUUUAGGUGGGACAGGAUGGCUACAGGGGCCUGGAUUUGGGUAUUUGCCUUCCCUCAGGUUUGUUAGGAUCUGAUAAAAUCCUAGUAGGGUUAGGCUUUGGUAAAAUAGUUUCUCUUGAGGACAGGCCUUGUUAAGAAGAACAGAAUGUUCUGGAGUAUUUCAAAAUUACACCUUUACUUUACUAUUCCUCUCCCUCUUACCAUUACUUUUCCCUCUUCCUGCUGGAAGCCCAAGGAGAUUUUUCUCUGAUGUUCACUGUGAGAACUCGGAGGAACUCCUGGAGGUAAAGUGUAGGCAUCCCCCUUGCAAGUGGGCCCUCCUGGAGCUUUAACUCCCAGACUUGUCCACACGGAGCCUCCAGCAAUUCAUCAACUACAGUUCAGGUUUUUCUAGCCUGGUAUUUGUUCCUGCACAGAUUUCUUUUUAUGAGUUUCUGCUCCUGUAAGUUGAUUCUCUGUAUCCUCCUGUCUAGGACUACUGGUUUGCUCUGCAAAUUUAAUUUUCUAACAAAUCUAAGAAGAGGUACUGAUUUUUGUUUUGUCAAGUUUUAACUUGUUAGGACAGAGUGAUGACUCCUAAGGUCCUUAUGUGCUAGAUGGGGCAAGCUUCUUUUUAUUUCAAAGGCUUUUCUAAUUUUCUCUUAAGGCAUUAUACAUUGUGAUUACUUGCUCUUGUGUUCCUUAUAGUAUAAUAUUUAUUCUUGAAUAAUGUAUUUUAAAAUUUGAAUUCUUUGCUGAAUUGCGUCACUUCAAUUUUUUUUAUCUUUUUGUUUUUCUCUUUUCUCAAAUAGGAAGUACUGUCAUUCUGACAGCAGGUUCACCCAAAGGGUACACCUUGACUUUGUAAUAGUAUCCCUGACUGUUCUGUUAAAUUUCAAAAUGAGAAAACUCUUUUUCGUCUAUUGACAGAUAAUGUGCACCCAAAUUAAGUGUGAGUGGGGGUCUGACUGUAUGUCUAAAGUGUACAGGCAGAGAUGAAUGUGUGUGGCUUUAGCAGAUCCACACUCAUCCAGGGAUAACUGGACCAUGGGGGCAGGGUGGGAGUGGAGAGAAGUCAUCAUAGGAUGGUAAUCAGGUGCUUGCAGGGAGAAGAGAAGGAAAAGCAGAUGAGUGAACAAGGGCAGAUGGUGCUGGAGAAUUCCAUCAAGUGGGCAUCAAGAAGGGACUGGAGGUUAAAACCUUUGGGAUAAAGAAGAAGAAAAAAAGACAAGCUGGUAAAAAGUAAGGUCUGGGGGGUGGAGGCAAGAAGGGGAGUUGCUAAAAACUCUAGAAUAAGCAGUAAGACAUCUUUCAAUAAAACUGCCCCUUCCCAGAUGGCACCUGGGCACUGUUUGCUGGGCACAAACAUGGCACUGUUUCCUAGGAGAUGAUUCCUCCAGUUCUUUAAGGUAGUAAUGAAUGACAACAAGAAGUUACUUCUCUAUGCUACACACGGUGUAGAAUCCAGAGCCUGACUGGCUGUGACGCGCCCAUGGUGACACCAAGGGGACUCUGCAUGGGCACAUCCCGGCCCUCCUCCCUGCAUGUUCUCCAAGCCAGGUCUUUGAAACCUCCAGUGAUGGGAAUGACAGAAUCUGGGAUGAUUUUCUUCUGUUUCUUAUCUAAAAAAACAACAAAAAGCUCAGCAUACACGGACUCACACAAACCUUUUGCUAGAGGCAGCUCUGUAGACUUAAGACGCUGUCAUUUUUCAGAAGAACCCAGCUUGCUUUGGAACUACAGUCAGCCCUGCAACCCACCCUCACCUUGGACCCUGCUGCUGCUGUCUGUAAAGGGUCUGGAUGAAGGAAGGGAGCCUCCAGCUUGUCGGCUGUACUUGCCCAGAAUUUAGCCUUUGCAACAUGGAGCUGCGGGGAUGGGAAAUGUUGUCCACUAGCCUUCCACAAUGCUGCGAUGAAUACACCUGUGCAUUCUUUUUUAGAACAAGUGUAAGAAUUCCUAUGUGGUAAGUCUGUUUAAAGAGAAUUUCAGAUUCACGUGUAGAUGUGUUAAGUUUGAGCGAUGUUGCCAAACUCUCUUGAACUUAUACCCUCUGUAAUAAUAUAUUGGGAUAUUUGUUUCCUUUUGUUCUUGUCAGUUUUCAUACUAUAAAACUUAAACAUGUUUGACAAUCUGACUGGAAAUGGCUUUGUACUGUUUUAAUUUACUUUUCUUUGCAUUAUGGUAGAUAUCUCUAACUGUCCUCUAGUAUCGACCUUCUUCCUUUUAGUGGUUAAAGACUACAUUUCCCAGCUGCCUUUGCAGCUGGCUGUGGUCAUGUGACUUAGUUCAGGCCAAUGGGAUGAAAGCUUGCCUUGGUCUUCCCCUUUUCCUCUUUCCAGCAGCUGGAAAAGUGCUGACCAGAGCAUUGUUGAAGGCCGUAUAGUAAGAAUGGCAAAGCUUCCCUACCAGCCCAACUGACUGUUUUGUGGUGCAGAGGCCAUCUAUUAUGUGAGAGAGAGCAAUAAAUAUAUAUAUAUAUAUUUUUCUAAGAGACUGGAGUCUCACUAUGUUGCCCAGGCUGGCCUUGAACUCCUGGCCUAAAGCAAUCCUCCCACCUCAGUCUUCCAAGUAGCUGGGACUACAAGUGUGUGCCACCAUGCCCAGCUCUAUAAACGUCUAUUUUUAUUGAGUCCCUAUGUGAGAUCAUUUUCUUGUAGCAGCUUACAUUCUGUACUAAAUUAUACAUGCAAUUUUUCAAAUGUAUUGGACAUUUACACUUUUUCUUCCAUGAUUUGCUUGUUCAAACCAUUUGCUUGUUUUCCAGUUAGGUUUUGCUUUUUACAUAUUUUAAUGGGUAUUCUUCGAAUAUUUUGGAAAUUUCUCCUUUGUUAAAAUGUUAUACCUCCCUCUCCCUCUCCCUCUCCCUCUCCCUCUCCCUCUCCCUCUCCGUCUCCCUCC
rnacentral:lncRNA from 1 species